GGCAAGGAAGGUCUCAGAGCUCUGUUUACCCUGGCAGGGGUCCAGGCCUAGCAACAACAAACAGUCACCCUUCCCCCAGCUUCAAUGUGAUUGGCCUUACCCAGGGACCCCUCAUCACUAAGUCUCCAGGCCUCCCUCAGAAGCCCAGCACAGCCAGUCUCAGCCUGUUCCCUUUGGACUGAGGACACCAAUGUCCAUAUGCUGAGUGACCUUGAGCCUAGUCAGGACCCUCAGGAACUGCCCGUGGGUGCCACUACCCCUUGACAAAUAGCUCCUAGGUUGGGAGUCUAAUGGCCCUUCACAAUGUGGUAAGUAAGCUCUGGUCUGGCAAUUAUGUCAGCCUUGGGUAAGGAUGCAAAUCUUUCCUUCCUGUCAUCUAGCUACCGGAAAGGUAGGCUUGGAUGGCCUGUGUUCCUG
rnacentral:lncRNA from 1 species